GCCUCAGUAACGGCGAGUGAAGCGGCAACAGCUCAAAUUUGAAAUCUGGCCUCUUCGGGGUCCGAGUUGUAAUUUGUAGAGGAUGUUUCGGGUACCGCCUCGGUUUAAAUUUCUUGGAACAGAAUGUCAGAGAGGGUGAGAAUCCCGUCUUGGACCGGCGGUAGGGCCCAUGUGAAACUCCUUCGACGAGUCGAGUUGUUUGGGAAUGCAGCUCAAAAUGGGUGGUAAAUUUCAUCUAAAGCUAAAUAUUGGCCAGAGACCGAUAGCGCACAAGUAGAGUGAUCGAAAGAUGAAAAGAACUUUGAAAAGAGAGUUAAACAGUAUGUGAAAUUGUUGAAAGGGAAGCGCUUACAACCAGACUUGAGCGCGGCGGUUCCCCCUUCCUUUUGGUUGGGUUACUCCGCCGUGUCCAGGCCAACAUCGGUUCUGGGGGUCGGUUAAAGGCCUGGGGAAUGUAUCUACUCCUUCGGGGGUAGACUUAUAGCCCCGGGUGUCAUGCGACCACCCGGGACCGAGGAACGCGCUUCGGCUCGGAUGUUGGCGUAAUGGUUGUCAG
rnacentral:rRNA from 1 species